ACCCAUCAUUGUCCAGGGGUUUGAGAGAAGGCCUUUUAUUACUGUAUUUCUUUUCCCUUUCCUCAAAGAAACCUCCACCCAGCUCGGGUGCCAGUGCAGCUGAGGACCAGCCUAAUCCUGCCACACUCACUGCUGCAGAAGGUGCAAGGAAAGCUUUGUUACUUCGUGGGGGCUGAUGAGCAGAAGCACAAGAGGCUCAGAACUGCCGGGAGGGAGGGUUGAUCGCUACUGGAACCAGCUGUUAGCUCCAGGUGGUAGGGCUUCCCCAGGUGAGACGCGUGAUGGGCCAGGCAGGAGGCUACAAAAAGGGGCUGGAUGGCAGGUUCUUGGUUUUGGAUGGGAAAGGACCGGUGAGGAAGAUGGGGGCUGUCUUCUUUUAGCUGGGUUUUCACCAGAGCAGCGGAGCUUUGAUUCAAAGCGUUGCAGAGAAAAGACUUCUCCAGUCAAGCAGGGAUGGAGAGCGGCUGGAGGAAAGCUGUUUCAUUGCACUCUGUCACAUCCCUG
rnacentral:lncRNA from 1 species